rnacentral:lncRNA from 1 species
UUGUUUUUCUAGUAGUGACACUUCUUCAAGGCCGGGAAACGGGAUGCAUAGACGAAAUACUGGAGACUAGGAGAAAGGCAGGCUGUCGCUGAUGAGGGUGUCUGGUGAGGGUUGGGUGCGGUCGAGUUCCUUGUAUGAUGAUGGGGAGAUGUUCAGAGCUUUAUAUUUGUUUCAUUCUCCGGUCCUCGCUAGCUAUCCAACCACUAUCCGUAUG